CGAGGGCUGGAGGAGAACCGGGCCAGACGGGGAAGCCGCGCGGCCGCGGGGCGAGGACACGGUGGCGGGGAGCGGACACGGGGGCGAGGACACCAGGUGUCCAAGGUUUUGCAUUUGGUUUCACCACUGGAAGGGGAAAAAAGGACAAAACCUAGGACCUUGCAAAUGCUAGGCAAGAACUAAACCCCUGACCCCUACAUAAGGCUCUUCUGCUGGGUUCUGCUGGGUUUCUCUAGGCUUGCUAACUUGUUAAAUGGAGCUGAAGUCUGCCGCUCAGAGGGAUUACUGAUUGAUGCUGGGCACACUGGACAAGCCUCCUGGCUGGCAGGAUCACUGUCCUGGGAUUGCGGCUUCCUUCCACCAAGUGAUUGCCUCCAACCUGCUGACUCCUCCUGCAAGGCUGCCCGGCCCUGCCGGAUCCUCGACAGACCCUGGCUCUUUAACGGAGCCGCACAACAACCCAAGAAGGUGGGCAUUAUCUUCUUCCAGUUCAUGGAGGACAGAAGGAAGUCCCAGAAGAGCAGGAGCUUGCUGAGAUCUGGGCCAGUGCUCCACCACAGAGCCACCCCCAGCCCCUGCCUGAGGUCUCGAUGCUCGUCAGUAGACGCGGGGCUUGAACUCAAUUCUGAGUGGUCCUCCUGGUCUUCCCAUUACGCUAGCUGUUAUGGUUUGGACCUGGAGUGUCCCCCCCAAGGCUCGUGGUCCCCAGUGCAGCAGUGUUCAGAGGUGGGCUUUGGAUCAGGAGGACUCUGAGCUUCUCAGUGGACUAACCCAUUGGUCCCCAGCUAAUGGAAUCAGGGGACGGUGAAGCCUAGUUGGAAGAAGUCACCAGAGGUGUGCCCUGGAAGAAUUUACCUUGUCCCUAGCCCCUUCCCUUUCUCUGCUUCCUGACUAUCAUAUCUGAGAGUCUAUACCCUCCCACCAUGAUGUCCCCAAAGUAAUGGACAGACAACCAUGGACUGACACCUCUGAAAUCAUGAGCCAAAAGAGAUCUUUCCAUUAAGCUGUUUGUGUUAGUCAUUUGUGUCCUAGGGAUGAAACGCUGACCAACACACUAGCUAUACCCAAAUAAAUGGGUAACCUAGCAGAAUAGAUGUGCUAGG
ensembl:lncRNA